rnacentral:misc_RNA from 1 species
UUUUUUUUGUUUUGGCAAGAGCAUGAGAGCUUUUACUGGGCAAGAAGACAAGAGAUGGAGAGUCCAGCCGGGCCUGCGCUUAAGUGCGCGGUCUUGCUAGGCUUGUAAGUUUCUUUCUUGCUAUUCCAAACGGUGAGAGAUUUCUGUGCUUUUGUUAUAGGACAAUUAAAACCGUUUCAAUACAACACACUGUGGAGUUUUCAUAUCUUUGCAACUUUUUCUUUGGGCAUUCGAGCAAUCGGGGCCCAGAGGUUAACAAACACAAACAAUUUUAUCUAUUCAUUAAAUUUUUGUCAAAAACAAGAAUUUUCGUAACUGGAAAUUUUAAAAUAUUAAAAACUUUCAACAACGGAUCUCUUGGUUCUCGCAUCGAUGAAGAACGCAGCGAAAUGCGAUACGUAAUGUGAAUUGCAGAAUUCCGUGAAUCAUCGAAUCUUUGAACGCACAUUGCGCCCCUUGGUAUUCCAGGGGGCAUGCCUGUUUGAGCGUCAUUUCCUUCUCAAACAUUCUGUUUGGUAGUGAGUGAUACUCUUUGGAGUUAACUUGAAAUUGCUGGCCUUUUCAUUGGAUGUUUUUUUUUUCCAAAGAGAGGUUUCUCUGCGUGCUUGAGGUAUAAUGCAAGUACGGUCGUUUUAGGUUUUACCAACUGCGGCUAAUCUUUUUUAUACUGAGCGUAUUGGAACGUUAUCGAUAAGAAGAGAGCGUCUAGGCGAACAAUGUUCUUAAAGUUUGACCUCAAAUCAGGUAGGAGUACCCGCUGAACUUAAGCAUAUCAAUAAGCGGAGGAAAAGA